UAACAAGGAUUCCCCUAGUAACUGCGAGUGAAGCGGGAAAAGCUCAAAUUUAAAAUCUGGCAGGCUCUGCUUGUCCGAGUUGUAAUCUGGAGAAGCGUUUUCCGCGCCGGACCGUGUACAAGUCUCUUGGAAUGGAGCGUCAUAGAGGGUGAGAAUCCCGUCCAUGACACGGACCGCCGGUGCUUUGUGAUACGCUCUCGAAGAGUCGAGUUGUUUGGGAAUGCAGCUCAAAAUGGGUGGUAAAUUCCAUCUAAAGCUAAAUAUUGGCGAGAGACCGAUAGCGAACAAGUACCGUGAGGGAAAGAUGAAAAGCACUUUGGAAAGAGAGUUAAACAGUACGUGAAAUUGUUGAAAGGGAAACGCUUGAAGUCAGUCGCGUCUUGCGGAGCUCAGCCUUGCUUUUGCUUGGUUUACUCUCCGUUUGACGGGUCAGCAUCAAUUUUGACCGGUGGAGAAGGUCCUGCAGGAAUGUGGCGUCGUUUCGGCGACGUGUUAUAGCCCCAGGUCGUAUACAUCGGUUGGGAUUGAGGACCGCAGCACGCCCUUGUGGCCGGGGGUUCGCCCUACGUUUUGUGCGUUAGGAUGCUGGCAAAAUGGCUUUAAGCGACCCGUCUUGAAACACGGACCAAGGAGUCUAACAUGUCUGCGAGUGUUCGGGUGGAAAACCCUUGCGCGUAAUGAAAGUGAAAGUUGGGAACCUCCGCAAGGGGGUGCACCGACGCCCGGCCCUGAAGUUUACGGACGGUGCUGCGGUAGAGCAUAUAUGUUGGGACCCGAAAGAUGGUGAACUAUGCCUGAAUAGGGUGAAGCCAGAGGAAACUCUGGUGGAGGCUCGUAGCGAUUCUGACGUGCAAAUCGAUCGUCAAAUUUGGG
rnacentral:rRNA from 1 species